CCUACGGGAGGCAGCAGUGGGGGAUAUUGCACAAUGGGGGGAACUCUGAUGCAGCGACGCCGCGUGGGUGAAGAAGCGCCUCGGCGCGUAAAGCCCUGUCAGCAGGGAAGAAAAUGACGGUACCUGAAGAAGAAGCCCUGGCUAAAUACGUGCCAGCAGCCGUGGGAAUACGUAGGGGGCAAGCGUUAGCCGGAUUUACUGGGUGUAAAGGGGGCGCAGACGGGGUUGCAGGCCAGGAGUGAAAGGCCGGGGCCCAACCCCGGGACUGCUCUUGGAACUGUGUGGCUGGAGUGCAGGAGGGGCAGGCGGAAUUCCUGGUGUAGCGGUGAAAUGCGUAGAUAUCAGGAGGAACACCGGUGGCGAAGGCGGCCUGCUGGACUGCAACUGACGUUGAGGCCCGAAAGCGUGGGGAGCAAACAGGAUUAGAUACCCCGGUAGUC
rnacentral:rRNA from 1 species